GUCAGGUGUGGUGGCACGCACUUGUAAUUCCAGCAACUCAGGAGGCUGAGACAGGAGGAUCACAAAUUGAAAACCAGCCUCAGCAAUUUAGUGAUACCCUGUCUCAA
rnacentral:sRNA from 1 species